rnacentral:rRNA from 1 species
GACGAACGCUGGCGGCGUGCUUAACACAUGCAAGUCGAACGCUGAACCCGCUUCGGUGGGGGAUGAGUGGCGAACGGGUGAGUAACACGUGGGCAACCUGCCCCCGGCUCUGGGAUAACUCCAAGAAAUUGGGGCUAAUACCGGAUGUGACCGCUGGCCGCAUGGUCUGGUGGUGGAAAGGGUUUCCGGCUGGGGAUGGGCCCGCGGCCUAUCAGCUUGUUGGUGGGGUAGUGGCCUACCAAGGCGACGACGGGUAGCCGGCCUGGGAGGGUGACCGGCCACACUGGGACUGAGACACGGCCCAGACUCCUACGGGAGGCAGCAGUGGGGAAUAUUGCGCAAUGGGCGGAAGCCUGACGCAGCGACGCCGCGUGGGGGAUGACGGCCUUCGGGUUGUAAACCUCUUUCAGCAGGGACGAAGCGCAAGUGACGGUACCUGAAGAAGAAGCACCGGCCAACUACGUG